CGACCGGCGCACGGGUGAGUAACACGUAUGGAACCUGCCCUAUGCAGGGGGAUAAGCGGAAGAAAUUCCGUCUAAUACCGCAUAACACCUUUAGGAGACAUCUUCUUGGGGGUCAAAGGAGGCGACUCCGGCAUAGGAUGGCCAUGCGUCGCAUUAGCUAGUCGGCGGGGUAACGGCCCACCGAGGCGACGAUGCGUAGGGGUUCUGAGAGGAAGGUCCCCCACACUGGUACUGAGACACGGACCAGACUCCUACGGGAGGCAGCAG
rnacentral:rRNA from 1 species